UACGGAGGGUGCAAGCGUUAUCCGGAUUCACUGGGUUUAAAGGGUGCGUAGGCGGGUCUUUAAGUCAGUGGUGAAAUCUCCGAGCUUAACUCGGAAACUGCCAUUGAUACUAUUUGUCUUGAAUUAUGUUGAGGUUGGCGGAAUAUGUCAUGUAGCGGUGAAAUGCUUAGAUAUGACAUAGAACACCGAUUGCGAAGGCAGCUAACUAAACAUAUAUUGACGCUGAGGCACGAAAGCGUGGGGAUCAAAC
rnacentral:rRNA from 1 species